rnacentral:rRNA from 1 species
ACUCCUACGGGAGGCAGCAGUAGGGAAUCUUCCACAAUGGGCGCAAGCCUGAUGGAGCAACACCGCGUGAGUGAAGAAGGGUUUCGGCUCGUAAAGCUCUGUUGUUAAAGAAGAACACGUAUGAGAGUAACUGUUCAUACGUUGACGGUAUUUAACCAGAAAGUCACGGCUAACUACGUGCCAGCAGCCGCGGUAAUACGUAGGUGGCAAGCGUUAUCCGGAUCUAUUGGGCGUAAAGAGAGUGCAGGCGGUUUUCUAAGUCUGAUGUGAAAGCCUUCGGCUUAACCGGAGAAGUGCAUCGGAAACUGGAUAACUUGAGUGCAGAAGAGGGUAGUGGAACUCCACGUGUAGCGGUGGAAUGCGUAGAUAUAUGGAAGAACACCAGUGGCGAAGGCGGCUACCUGGUCUGCAACUGACGCUGAGACUCGAAAGCAUGGGUAGCGAACAGGAUUAGAUACCCUGGUAGGAUAGCG